ACCCUUUAAUGUUUGAUGUUCUAACGUGGACCCGUGAUCCGGGUUGCGGACAGUGUCUGGUGGGUAGUUUGACUGGGGCGGUCUCCUCCUAAAGAGUAACGGAGGAGCACGAAGGUUGGCUAAUCCUGGUCGGACAUCAGGAGGUUAGUGCAAUGGCAUAAGCCAGCUUGACUGCGAGCGUGACGGCGCGAGCAGGUGCGAAAGCAGGUCAUAGUGAUCCGGUGGUUCUGAAUGGAAGGGCCAUCGCUCAACGGAUAAAAGGUACUCCGGGGAUAACAGGCUGAUACCGCCCAAGAGUUCAUAUCGACGGCGGUGUUUGGCACCUCGAUGUCGGCUCAUCACAUCCUGGGGCUGAAGUAGGUCCCAAGGGUAUGGCUGUUCGCCAUUUAAAGUGGUACGCGAGCUGGGUUUAGAACGUCGUGAGACAGUUCGGUCCCUAUCUGCCGUGGGCGCUGGAGAACUGAGGGGGGCUGCUCCUAGUACGAGAGGACCGGAGUGGACGCAUCACUGGUGUUCGGGUUGUCAUGCCAAUGGCACUGCCCGGUAGCUAAAUGCGGAAGAGAUAAGUGCUGAAAGCAUCUAAGCACGAAACUUGCCCCGAGAUGAGUUCUCCCUGAGACUUAGAGUCUCCUG
rnacentral:rRNA from 1 species